CGGAGAUCUGCAUGACGCGACCUUCCCUUUGGAGAUGACGUAGACAGUGCAGAAGUCUGGCACCAUUUUCGUCACGUUGCCAGGAAUAUCAACCGUCUUGAAUCUUCUGUGCCAAGAGAUUUGUAAAUCUGUUACCUGACAAAGCCAUUCUUGGGUGAGGAACCGAUCACCAGCGUCUCGAUGGAGUUGUUCUUGAUGUACUCGCUCAGGGCCUUUGCUACGUCCGAGUCUUCUAGUAUCACUUCAUGCACUUGAAUCUGAGCCCAGAAUUCGUAAGCAGCGGAAAGGAAGGAACAGUUCUUUUGCGGACUCAUUGUCGGAGAAACUCAUUCGACCUCCCACUGAAUCAUAUCAUCAUAAAGGUAACAAUUAGAUUUAUAUCUUU